UGAAAUGGCAGCGAGUCGUUCACCAUGGAAGGAUGUGCAGCUUCUAUCCUGAGGUAUCGUGUCUGUUUUUCCGUAGUAGGGAUCCAAUCACUAGUUAAUAUACCCAUCACUAGCGAAUGAAGUCCAUAAAUCGAGUAACAUGUUUGAGACUUUCACAUCCUUCAACGAAUGCAGUCGAGGAAAGAACACGUUGGAAAACAUCAGUAGCAAUUCCGAUGCAUGACCGCUGCCUACACAAACAAUUGGAUAAAAAUGGAUAACAAAGAUUUUUUUAAUUGGUGCUUCAACAUACGUAUGAAAUAACGGUUUCCUUGCUGCCUUACCUUUGGAAUGUGGAGAUAAUAAAUGGUAAUGGACACUGACACCGCCAGCGCUCGAUCCGAAAAGUGUAACGGAAUUCGGAUUACCAUUGAAAAAGUGAAUAUGGUCACGCACCCAUCUUGGAUUUAGUGAUUCAUCUUUAAGCUGAAACAUGUAGGCCUACCAACCAAAAGAGCCAAGUCUAUAUUGCACUGUCACAAGGAUGAUGUUUCGAUCAAGGAAAUAACCAGGACCUGCUAGAUCAGUUGUCGCCCCGGCACUUCCAAAGAAAAACGAACCGGGAUGAAUAUACACCAUAACUGGUCUCGGGUCGUCAGAAACCAACUACGUGCAAAUAUUAACCGAAAACGGAUAUACCAGCCUACAUUGUGCGUGUAGAUGUUCAACGUUAGACAAUCUUCAACACCCAUAAACAUUUGCAACAUCCCAUUAUAUUGUAUACAAGGCGAUUCCUCUCGACUUGCAUCAAGGAUAUUUCCAAACCACGGAUCGACAGAGUGACCUUAAAACGAAGCUCUCCCACAGGAGAUUUGGCGUACGGAAUACCCCUGAAAGCCAAAAAACUUCGUCUGGAUGAAGAAAUCAUUUUCGACCCACGCACUUCACCGAGCGCCGGAAUUG